UCCAGGCUUUGGCCCUUCACUCCAGCUCUCCUGAACACCCAGCUCCUGAAUCAACUGGUUUUCCCUGCCUUCGGAGGUGGAGCAAAGGCCACAGACAGUCCACAAGUGGGUCCUGCAGAUGAAGUGUUCCGUGUUUCGUCUUCAAGAACAGAUGACUACCUCCUUCGUCCCUUUCUUAGAUGCGGGUUGCGGCCAGGUGAAUCGGUUCACCUGACUCAGCAGAAGAGGCUUAGUGCUCCACGGCUUUCCGAUUAAGGGGUAGUUAAUCAAAAGGUUGUGAGCAGAGAGCACCGUAAAAGAGUCUACAGGUAACUUCCUGAUGGCCACA